rnacentral:rRNA from 1 species
AUUAGGGUUCGAUUCCGGAGAGGGAGCCUGAGAAACGGCUACCACAUCUAAGGAAGGCAGCAGGCGCGCAAAUUACCCAAUCCUAAUACAGGGAGGUAGUGACAAGAAAUAACAAUACAGAACCUCACGGUUUUGUAAUUGGAAUGAGUUAAGUAUAAACCCCUUAACGAGUAUCAAUUGGAGGGCAAGUCUGGUGCCAGCAGCCGCGGUAAUUCCAGCUCCAAUAGCGUAUAUUAAAGUUGUUGCAGUUAAAAAGCUCGUAGUUGAUUUUCUGUUAAUUUUUAUGUAUAAUAUUGCGAUAUUUACAUAACAUUAACAUAAUUCACAUUACUUUACAGUAUGUGGAAUUUUACUUUGAGAAAAUUAGAGUGCUUAAAGCAGGCUAUUGCCUUGAAUACUCCAGCAUGGAAUAAUAUUAAGGAUUUUUAUUCUUCUUAUUGGUUCUAGAAUAAAAAUAAUGAUUAAUA